UUCCGGUUGAUCCUGCCGGAGGUCACUGCUAUCGGGGUUCGAUUAAGCCAUGCGAGUCGAGAGGGUUCGGCCCUCGGCGUACUGCUCAGUAACACGUGGAUAACCUGCCCUAGGGGAGGGGAUAACCCCGGGAAACUGGGGAUAAUACCCUAUAGGUUACAGAUGCUGGACUGCCCUGUAACCAAAAGCUCCGGCGCCCUAGGAUGGAUCUGCGGCCGAUUAGGUUGUUGUUGGGGUAACGGCCCAACAAGCCCGUAAUCGGUACGGGUUGUGGGAGCAAGAGCCCGGAGUUGGAUUCUGAGACACGAAUCCAGGCCCUACGGGGCGCAGCAGGCGCGAAACCUUUACAAUGCGGGCAACCGUGAUAAGGGAACCUCGAGUGCCUGUAAACGCAGGCUGUUCAGGUGUUUAAAACGCACCUGGAGAAAGGGCCGGGCAAGACCGGUGCCAGCCGCCGCGGUAAUACCGGCGGCUCGAGUGGUGGCCGCUUUUAUUGGGAUUAAAGCGUUCGUAGCUGGGUUGUUAAGUCUCUUGGGAAAUCUGGCGGCUUAACCGUCAGGCGUCUAAGGGAUACUGGCAAUCUUGGAACCGGGAGAGGUGAGGGGUACUUCGGGGGUAGGGGUGAAAUCCUGUAAUCCUCGAGGGACCACCUGUGGCGAAGGCGCCUCACCAGAACGGCUUCGACAGUGAGGGACGAAAGCUGGGGGAGCAAACCGGAUUAGAUACCCGGGUAGUCCCAGCCGUAAACGAUGCGCGUUAGGUGUAUCGGUGACCACGAGUUACCGAGGUGCCGAAGGGAAACCGUGAAACGCGCCGCCUGGGAAGUACGGUCGCAAGGCUGAACUUAAAGGAAUUGGCGGUGGAGCACCACAACGGGUGGAGCCUGCGGUUUAAUUGGAUUCAACGCCGGGAAUCACUAGUGCGGCCGCCUGCAGGUCGACCAUAUGGGA
rnacentral:rRNA from 1 species